CAGAUUGAUAAGAAUGAGUGGGCGACUCCAGAUGUCUUCAGUCCCGAGCAUUUCUUGGAUUCAGAGGGCAAGUUUGUCAAGAGAGAUGCUUUCUUGCCAUUUUCAGCAGGUAAACGUAUGUGUUUGGGGGAACACCUGGCCAAAAUGGAGCUCUUCGUCUUCUUUUCAGUGUUGCUGCAACGCUUCACCUUUGCUCCGGUUCCUGGAGAAAUGCCCAGCCUGGAGGGCGUGAUGGGCUUCACUCAUUCCCCCGCGGAGUUCAGACUCCUGGCUGUGCCGCGCUGACAUGUGUUUCACAUUCUUCUCAUUGGGACAACAGUGCUGUGUUAAAAAUGUUUUAAUUGCUCUGAUGAUGUCUUCUAAUCAUAAAUGUCAGUUUUUUUUAUUGGUUGUGCGCAGGAAAUCCUUAUAAUUCACUGAAUUUGACUACAUAUCAUAACGUUUGGUAGUUUAAAGUGUCAAUAGAAAAACCAC